rnacentral:rRNA from 1 species
UAAGGAAUAUUGGUCAAUGGACGCAAGUCUGAACCAGCCAUGCCGCGUGAAGGAUGAAGGCCCUCUGGGUUGUAAACUUCUUUUAUCUGGGAAGAAAUGCAUGCUUUUUAGCGUGUUUGACGGUACCAGAGGAAUAAGCACCGGCUAACUCCGUGCCAGCAGCCGCGGUAAUACGGAGGGUGCAAGCGUUAUCCGGAUUCACUGGGUUUAAAGGGUGCGUAGGGUGGGGCUUGUAAGUCAGUGGUGAAAUCUCCGUGCUUAACAUGGAAACUGCCAUUGAUACUAUAGGUCUUGAAUUUUCUGGAGGUUAGCGGAAUAUGUCAUGUAGCGGUGAAAUGCUUAGAUAUGACAUAGAACACCAAUUGCGAAGGCAGCUAGCUACAGGGAUAUUGACACUGAGGCACGAAAGCGUGGGGAUCAAACAGGAUUAGAUACCCUGGUAGUCCACGCCCUAAACGAUGGAUACUCGACAUUUGUGAUACACAAUAAGUGU